rnacentral:tRNA from 1 species
GAGGGUAUAGCUCAGCGGUAGAGCGUAUGCCUGGUAUACACAAGGUCCUGGAUUCAAUCCCUCGUACUUCCA